UCCAGGGCAGAGCAGCUUUGGCUCUGGAAUCCCAGAGACCUCAGCCCAAACCUAGCUCCUCCCCAUAGCCAGAGAAACUUGAGGUACUUUCUGGGGUUCCCAGAGUCUCGGCUUCUAAAUAAUGGAAGCAACAGCUGCUGUCCCUACAGAGUAAGUCUUUUUGUGAAGAAUUAUUAAGAUAACGUAACGAAGGUGUCCAGGACGUUGCCCAGGGCUCCUGUGUGCCCACUGCUCACCUCCUUUCUACGGAAUUCAACGCCAGCAUCUUAAGGUGGUGGACCAUGUUGGGCAUUUUCGUCAUGAGACAGAGUUUUGGCUUCAAAGGGGAGUGCUCCCUCCUUGCUGCUUUUUUUUCACUCCUUACAACCCAGCAUAGACCUGGCUGCUAUCCUAACUGCGUAGCUGAGAAAGCAAGGCAUCGUGGGUAAUGCAAGAAUGGAUUCGAACCUGUCACCUUAGCUCCAGAGUCUCAUCUCAACUGGGAACCAACAGGGGUCUCUUAUCCCUGAAAAAACGAGCCCUGCUUUCUGAAGCUCUAAGGAAACGUUGACUGAUAGAUGCAAAGUGAGAUGGCGCCACCCAACUCACUAACUGGCCGCCGUCUUCAUUUUAUUCCUAGCCUCGACUCCGCCCCCACGCUUAGGGCAUGCUCUCGCUGCCCUCCCUCCCACUAGAACGCAUGCUUCCUACCAGAAGGCCUUUGAUGUCCCCCCUCACGCAAGAGCGGUGUGGACCCCGCAUAAGUACUUGUUUAGUGACUGAACCGAUGACCCCCAUUUAACCCUGACCCUGGAGGUCUUCAGCUACAGCCCCGACUGGACCACUGGGGUGGGGUUAAGGUCAAUCCUAUAACCUGGGGUUGAGGUUGAGGCAAAGCCCCCGGACAGUCCCUAGACAGUGAGAAUGAGGAGGACCAGCCUGGUGUGCAGCCUGUCACAACAACCCUUCACCUCCCUCGGGGUACCCACCAAGCGCUCGCCUUGGGUGAGCUGACAGCAGAACUGAUCUGGGAGCUAACUUGCUUUCUGUGGCAGAGGGAAAGACUUGGAAGCUUGUUGGUGUGUAAAUUAAAACAAUAAGUGGCCUUUUCAAAUGACAUUUCCAGACAGGCAAAUGCUCGGAUUAGCAUCUAGACCAGGAUGUCAAAAAGCUGCCAUGGCCAGCGUGCUCAGAGGCCCUGGCAGUGCCGCCCUGAGUCCCUGGAGAGCCGCUCCUUCCUAAGUGGGUCUCCGCUGCAGCGGACACCACACCGGGGACUCUAACUGGAGACUGCCCCCAAGCCCCCGGUCCACCACAGCUGCAGUCAAUUUCCUUCUGAUUAACCCAACCUUUCCUCUCUAAGGAAGUUGUUAGCGGGAGGGGACUGCGGUCACAAUAUUGUUUGUGACUGUUUAUCUUCAGCCCAAGCAGGACCGAUUACAAAUAUUUAUGUGCAUUUUUCAAAAGUCUC